GACGAACGCUGGCGGCGUGCUUAACACAUGCAAGUCGAACGGAAAGGCCCUGCUUUUGUGGGGUGCUCGAGUGGCGAACGGGUGAGUAACACGUGAGUAACCUGCCCUUGACUUUGGGAUAACUUCAGGAAACUGGGGCUAAUACCGGAUAGGAGCUCCUGCUGCAUGGUGGGGGUUGGAAAGUUUCGGCGGUUGGGGAUGGACUCGCGGCUUAUCAGCUUGUUGGUGGGGUAGUGGCUUACCAAGGCUUUGACGGGUAGCCGGCCUGAGAGGGUGACCGGCCACAUGGGGACUGGGAUACGGCCCAGACCCCUACGGGGGGCAGCAGGGGGGAAUAUUGCACAAGGGGCGGAAGCCUGAUGCAGCAACGCCGGGGGGGGGAUGACGGCCUUCGGGUUGUAAACCGCUUUCGCCUGGGACGAAGGGGGGGUGACGGUAAUGGGUAAAGAAGCACCGGCUAACUACGG
rnacentral:rRNA from 1 species